UACGAGGCAGCAGUGGGGAAUAUUGCACAAUGGGCGCAAGCCUGAUGCAGCCAUGCCGCGUGUAUGAAAAAGGCCUUCGGGUUGUAAAGUACUUUCAGUCGUGAGGAAGGUGUUAAGGUUAAUAACCUUAGCAAUUGACGUUAGCGACAGAAGAAGCACCGGCUAACUCCGUGCCAGCAGCCGCGGUAAUACGGAGGGUGCGAGCGUUAAUCGGAAUUACUGGGCGUAAAGGGCACGCAGGCGGUUAAUUAAGUUGGAUGUGAAAUCCCCGGGCUUAACCUGGGAAUGGCAUUCAAGACUGGUUAGCUAGAGUCUUGUAGAGGGGGUAGAAUUCCAUGUGUAGCGGUGAAAUGCGUAGAGAUGUGGAGGAAUACCGGUGGCGAAGGCGGCCCCUGGACAAAGACUGACGCUCAUGUGCGAAAGCGUGGGGAGCAAACGAGGGAUUAGAUACC
rnacentral:rRNA from 1 species